GACGAACGCUGGCGGCGUGCUUAACACAUGCAAGUCGAACGGAAAGGCCCUGCUUUUGUGGGGUGCUCGAGUGGCGAACGGGUGAGUAACACGUGAGUAACCUGCCCUUGACUUUGGGAUAACUUCAGGAAACUGGGGCUAAUACCGGAUAGGAGCUCCUGCUGCAUGGUGGGGGUUGGAAAGUUUCGGCGGUUGGGGAUGGACUCGCGGCUUAUCAGCUUGUUGGUGGGGUAGUGGCUUACCAAGGCUUUGACGGGUAGCCGGCCUGAGGGGGUGACCGGCCACAUUGGGACUGAGAUACGGCCCAGACUCCUACGGGAGGCAGCAGUGGGGAAUAUUGCACAAUGGGCGGAAGCCUGAUGCAGCAACGCCGCGUGCGGGAUGACGGCCUUCGGGUUGUAAACCGCUUUCGCCUGUGACGAAGCGUGAGUGACGGUAAUGGGUAAAGAAGCACCGGCUAACUACG
rnacentral:rRNA from 1 species